AUUGAACGCUGGCGGCAGGCCUAACACAUGCAAGUCGAGCGGAUGAAGGGAGCUUGCUCCUGGAUUCAGCGGCGGACGGGUGAGUAAUGCCUAGGAAUCUGCCUGGUAGAUGGGGAUAACGUCCGGAAACGGGCGCUAAUACCGCAUACGUCCUGAGGGAGAAAGGGGGGGAUCUUCGGACCUCACGCUAUCAGAUGAGACUAGGUCGGAUUAGCUAGUUGGUGGGGUAAAGGCCUACCAAGGCGACGAUCCGUAACUGGUCUGAGAGGAUGAUCAGUCACACUGGAACUGAGACACGGUCCAGACUCCUACGGGAGGCAGCAGUGGGGAAUAUUGGACAAUGGGCGAAAGCCUGAUCCAGCCAUGCCGCGUGUGUGAAGAAGGUCUUCGGAUUGUAAAGCACUUUAAGUUGGGAGGAAGGGCAGUAAGUUAAUACCUUGCUGUUUUGACGUUACCAACAGAAUAAGCACCGGCUAACUUCGUG
rnacentral:rRNA from 1 species